CAACGGCAGAGUAACCUGCCCAGGUUAAAAACUCUUAUACAGUGACUUUAAACGAACGAAUGUUAUAAGGUAAACUGGUUCUUGGUUCUUGUAGUGCUACGGAACUCCUUCUCGACGACUACUAACUACACAACUCGCAAAACGUGUAGGCUGGCUGCCGAAGGAUUCAGAAAUUAUAAUAUCUCAGUAUAUAUCUGGAAAAUUUGGUCACUGAAUUUUAUUGGGAUAUUUAAUCCUCCGCCAAACUUCAUGCCCUACACCUAUACAGGCCUGUUGAAAGUGAUUUAAUAUUCGUACCG
rnacentral:misc_RNA from 1 species